AAAGCAUACUUCAAAGACUGUGACCUGUUUUCUACUUUCCUUGUAUUUUCCCAUCAAUGCUCGCCCUCCCACAAGCAUUUGGGGUCCAUCUCAUUUGUCACUAUUCAAUCACUUCAACUCAUUGCCUGUUAACCCCAAUUAUACAGAAUCCAUCUCCAUUUCUUUCCCUGAAUUUCCAUCUCUCUCUUUGAUUUCUUUAUCGUAAUUCCACCAUGUCUGUCAUUUGAGAGGCUGCUCUUUCUGCGUUUUUGGAGCUGUUGUCUGGCAAGUUGGUUGACUCUGUACUCAACUUUGUGGCCGGUCACAGGCAAGUCCACCAGCAACUCGAGCAGUGGCAAUCCAUAUUACCCGAGAUCACAGCAGUGUUGAACCGUACAGAGGAGAAGCAGAUCAAGGGCGAGGACGAGGGUGUGAAGAAUUGGUUGGACGAUCUCCAAGACUUAGCUUACGAUGUGGAUGACAUCUUGGACGAGUUCGCUUACCAACAGUUACAUCUCAAGCUCCAAAAACCUCAAUCUCAAGCCAGCACUAGUAAGCAUGCCACCACGUGAAGAGUUCCCGACUAAAGGAUUGGAAGAUGCACCAAGUAAUGAUAUAGGUUGGCACUUUGAAACUCCAGUGCCAAAUACGAAAGGAGAUAUCGUAUGUAAACUUUGUGGUAAAGUUGUGAAAGGAGGAAUAACACGAUCUAAAGAGCACAUUGCUCAUAAAACUGGCAAUGUUGCACCAUGCGCUAAUAUUAUUAUUAUUUUUAAAUGUUAUUGUAAAUUUAUCAAUAAAGAUUAUAUAUAAUUGAUAAUAAUAUAAAGUGUGAAUUAUUUUUAUUUUAUUAACAAGUUUCAUUAGAGAAAGUAUGAUAAAUAUACUGAAAGAAAGCAACACAAAGAAUAUAGACAAAAAGAGGAGAAAAGAUGAAUUUUUAUCUCAAUUAAGAGAAGAGGAGGAUGAACACGAAGAAUUCAUUGAUAAGGUUUCUGCUAUAAGGCAAGCAACUCGAGAAAGUAUCCAAUCACAACACGAGUGGCAUAGAAGGGAAGAAUUCAGAUGAAAUACUGGUGGUUGGAAUAACAUUUAUGAAGAAGGACGAUCUUCUCAUGGAUCAACUAGAGAACAUCAUAGAGAAAGAACAAGUAAAUUCAUCCCAAGUGAGUCUAAGUUUACCUUAAGGGGAGCUAUACCUGAAUUGGUUAGAAGCAGAAGUUCAAAGCAACCAAAGGUCAGUGACUCUUUUUUAAAGAGUUUUUGAAGGAAGAUAGGUGAAGCGGUAUCUAAAUUUUUAAUAUAUGAAAUACUUCCUUUUCAAUUAGCAAGCUCUCUAUGGUUGUAUAACUUAAUUCAACUGUCAACAGAAGUUGGGCAAGGUGUAAAGCUCCCAACUCCUUAUGAGGUUUCAGAUAUGUAUUUGAAGUUAGAGUAUCAACGAGUUCGUGAUUGGGUAAAUGGACUAAAGACUCAUCGGAAAGAAUUGGGUGCAACUCUAAUGUGUGAUGGUUGGACCAACAGUUUGAAUCAAAUGCACAUCAUUAAUUUCCUUAUUUAUUGCAGUAAAGGAACCAUUUUUUGGAAAUCAGUAGAUGUCUCAAGUGUACGUAGUAGAGAUGCUGAAUUCUACUACUGUUUGUUAGAUUCAGUUGUAGAAGAAAUUGGAGAAAAUUACAUUGUCCAAAUAGUGACUGAUAAUGAGGCAGUAAUGAAAGCUGUUGGAAAAAAAUUAAUAUUGAAAAGAAAGCAUCUAUAUUGGACCUCAUGUGCAGCUCACUGUUUAGAUUUAUGCCUUGAAGAUAUUGGGAAAAAGCCCAGUGUAGCAAAAGUGUUAGAUGAGGCAAAAAUAGUGACUUGCUUUAUAUACAAUCACAUUUGGACUGUUGAUUUGAUGAAGAAGUAUACAUAAGGGAAACAAAUACUUCGACCUGCUCUUACUCGAUUUGCAACUCAUUUCAUUCAACUUGAAGAGAUAACAAGACAAAAGCAAGGUCUGAGAGAAAUGUUUAAUUCAAAGGAAUUUAAAGAAUCAAAAUGGGGACAGCAAAAGUCAGAGCCUGCUUAUGAAGCCAAAACAAUUGUUUUGGGAAAAGAUUUUUGGAAAAAAGCCAAUGACCUCAUAAAAGCUUACGAGCCCCUAGUAAAAGUAUUGAGACUUGUUGAUAGCGAUGAAAAUGAGAUUUAUUUAUGAGGCUAUUGAUAGAGCUAAACGAGCAAUUCAACAAGAUUGUCGAUAUUUCACUGAGUACGAAAGAUUAUUGACAAUAGAUGAAAUUUUAUGCAUUCUGACUUGUACUCAGCUGGUAAGAUAAAAUGUUUCAUAUAAUUAAGAA